AGCCCUGCUUGCUCCUUGUUUAUCUCGCUGAGGAAAAAACGGCCACACCCAGGAUGUCUGAAUCCAGUCCUGAGGGUCUAGGAUUAAACUGCUCCUUCCCCUUCCUUUGCACAAUAGGCACCCCCAAUGAGAAAGGUGGGUGAACCCCGAGUAUCGAGUCUAAUGGGCAAGUGCCCUCUUUCCUUCCAUUGUUUAAAGACUGCUGAGGAGGAAGAGAAUCUGCCCGGCCGGGUCUCGAAGAGCCCUCAGCCUCCAGCCCCGCUAGCGCUCAACUUCCACGUCUGAGCCUGCGGGCGGUUAGGGAUAAGACAAAGCCGCUGAGGGCUCUGGCUUCAGAAGCAUCAAUGUCUACCCUGCAGGGGCCGGAGCGAAGGCUAACGUCCAGCAGUGCGAACCGCGUGGGGGUCGUCAUUCACGCUAUGGCGUAAGCCUCCGAGCGAGGGGUGCAAGAGGGCCAAAGGGCACUCGGGGAGCGGUACUCGGGAAGCGGGACACGGGACUCGGGACGCGGGAAAAGAAGACCCCUUCCCCCACCUCAGGCAGGAAACGACGCUACUUCUCGAAAACGAGUCGCGGCGCAUGCGCACCCGGUUACUUAGCAACGUCGACGUUAAACUGCCCCAGAACCAAGCCCAGCAACAAUCGAGCGGCCCGUGGCCCCGACCAAUCAGCACCGGCAUAAUCUUUGUCACCUCACCAAUCAACGCUGACGCAGCAAGGAAGUUUCCAGAGCUUUCGAGGGAGGGCCCUUUAACUUGGAUCCAUCCGCCCGAUGAUUUUGUCCAUAUUAUUGUUCAGGAGGAGAAGGGUCGCCGGAAAUAAAGGGCCUUUUAUUUGUUAGUGUUCCUUUCUUCGGUUUGGAGGAACUGGACCCUUGGGUGAAAAGUCUAACUGAGUGGUAGGAGGUGGGGGACGAGGGACUACUUUCGGCGGCGCAGGAAGACGACGGCUACGUAGGCGUGGUGAGUGACGCAACAGACGCUGCAUAAAUAGUGACUCGCGCGGCCGCCGAGCUCAGUGACGAGAGGCUUUGUGCGGUUAGGAGGUCUUCACGUCCUGGUGUCUCUACGCGCUCGGCGUUUUGUCGUUUCAUCACAUUCGUUAACAGGUCAAAAUGCAAAUCUUCGUGAAGACCCUGACCGGCAAGACCAU